rnacentral:rRNA from 1 species
UACGUAGGGAGCAAGCGUUGUCCGGAAUUACUGGGCGUAAAGGGCGUGUAGGCGGCCAAGUAAGUUGAAAGUGAAACCCAUGGGCUCAACCCAUGGCCUGCUUUCAAAACUGCAUGGCUUGAGGAUAAGAGAGGAAAGUGGAAUUCCUAGUGUAGCGGUGAAAUGCGUAGAUAUUAGGAGGAACACCAGUGGCGAAGGCGACUUUCUGGCUUAAACCUGACGCUGAGGCGCGAAAGCGUGGGGAGCAAACAGG